rnacentral:lncRNA from 1 species
CAAUUGGAUAUGGGUAUUGUAGCUGAAACGUCUUGCGAGCUGAGUCAGGGUCGGGGAAGCUGUGAUGGCAAUGAGAAGUCAACACACUGAGGAUGGAGAGAAAGAAGAUGAGUCUGGGAGAGAAAGAGAAUGAUUCUUCUGGCCGAGGGAAAGCAAGAAUAUCUGUUCCUGCAACUGCACUGAUUCUAGAAACACUCUCUAUUCGAACUCUCAUGAGAUGGACCGAAAAUGCUGACGCCAAUGCCAAGGAAAAAAGUGUCUUGAAAAAGCAGCCGUGGACGUGGAGUUACCAAAUCAUCCGAAGUGGCUCCUGGACCGGGUGGAGGAGCCAGGCUGCAGAAAUGCAGUUCAUCGCAGGAGUUUUCCUGAACAGAGAAAAGUCUCCACAGAAUAGCAAAAAUAGCAAAAACUCGAAGUCAAGGGUCUUGAGGUCUAAAUUUUCUGUGUGACCCCAGGGAAAUCGUUUCAUCUUUCUAGGUCUUCACAUCCUCACCUGAAAAAUAAAGUGCUUGGCUAAGAAAGGCU